UACAGAGGGGCAAGCGUUGUUCGGAAUUACUGGGCGUAAAGGGCGCGUAGGCGGCCUGCUAAGUCGAACGUGAAUCCCGAGCUCAACUCGGGAACUGCGUCCGAUACUGGCAGGCUUGAAUCCGGGAGAGGGAUGCGGAAUUCCAGGUGUAGCGGUGAAAUGCGUAGAUAUCUGGAGGAACACCGGUGGCGAAGGCGGCAUCCUGGACCAACACUGACGCUGAGGAGCGAAAGCGUGGGGAGCGAACGAG
rnacentral:rRNA from 1 species